rnacentral:rRNA from 1 species
GACGAACGCUGGCGGCGUGCUUAACACAUGCAAGUCGAACGCUGAAGCUCAGCUUUUGUUGGGUGGAUGAGUGGCGAACGGGUGAGUAACACGUGAGUAACCUGCCCCCUUCUUUGGGAUAACGCCCGGAAACGGGUGCUAAUACUGGAUAUUCACUGGUCUUCGCAUGGGGGUUGGUGGAAAGGGUUUUUCUGGUGGGGGAUGGGCUCGCGGCCUAUCAGCUUGUUGGUGGGGUGAUGGCCUACCAAGGCUUUGACGGGUAGCCGGCCUGAGAGGGUGACCGGUCACAUUGGGACUGAGAUACGGCCCAGACUCCUACGGGAGGCAGCAGUGGGGAAUAGUGCACAAUGGGCGCAAGCCUGAUGCAGCGACGCCGCGUGAGGGAUGGAGGCCUUCGGGUUGUGAACCUCUUUCGCUCAUGGUCAAGCCGCAACAAUGGUUGUGGUGAGGGUAGUGGGUAAAGAAGCGCCGGCUAACUACGU